rnacentral:rRNA from 1 species
AGGUUCUAACCUUGGCCCGUGAUCCGGGUCGGGGACAGUGCAUGGUAGGCAGUUUGACUGGGGCGGUCUCCUCCCAAAGCGUAACGGAGGAGUACGAAGGUACGCUAGGUACGGUCGGAAAUCGUGCUGAUAGUGCAAUGGCAUAAGCGUGCUUAACUGCGAGACCGACAAGUCGAGCAGGUGCGAAAGCAGGUCAUAGUGAUCCGGUGGUUCUGUAUGGAAGGGCCAUCGCUCAACGGAUAAAAGGUACUCUGGGGAUAACAGGCUGAUACCGCCCAAGAGUUCAUAUCGACGGCGGUGUUUGGCACCUCGAUGUCGGCUCAUCUCAUCCUGGGGCUGUAGCCGGUCCCAAGGGUAUGGCUGUUCGCCAUUUAAAGAGGUACGUGAGCUGGGUUUAAAACGUCGUGAGACAGUUUGGUCCCUAUCUGCCGUGGGCGUUGGAUAUUUGAAGGGGGCUGCUCCUAGUACGAGAGGACCGGAGUGGACGAACCUCUGGUGUACCGGUUGUCACGCCAGUGGCAUCGCCGGGUAGCUAUGUUCGGAAGAGAUAACCGCUGAAAGCAUCUAAGCGGGAAACUCGCCUUAAGAUGAGAUAUCCCUGGGGACUAGAUCCCCUUGAAGGGUCGUUCGAGACCAGGACGUUGAUAGGUCAGGUGUGUAAGCGCAGUAAUGCGUUCAGCUAACUGAUACUAAUUGCCCGUAAGGCUUGAUCCUAUAACA